GUGGAAGCGGGAGGCCUUGGCCAAUCGCCGCGCGGCUUGUUCCGGCGUGGUUGCGAGAGGGGAAGCGUCUCUGCUGCCCGGGCGGAAUCGCUUCUUUCUCCCCGCUUCCAGGCGGCGGCGGCAGCGGCGGCGAAGACUCUCCCUCGCCGUCCUUUUCUGCGUACGCUGCUCAACCCUCUUCCGCAUACAUGGCGCUUCGCUUCAGGAGCGGCCGGAGGGGCCAAUUCAUCCGCUCUGGCCGCAGCUAUUCUUGUGACAACCCUAACUGGACGGACCAUUGCCAUCCUCAGCCACGUCAACGAUCUCUUUCUGAGAGUGAUGCCAGUUACUUGCAAGAUCAAGAAAAUUAUAUUGAGCCAUAUGCCACAGUCACUGAGCUGCGAAUGCGUCACAACUGGAAGAGCAAUGGU